UUGGAGGGCAAGUCUGGUGCCAGCAGCCGCGGUAAUUCCAGCUCCAAUAGCGUAUAUUAAAGUUGUUGCAGUUAAAAAGCUCGUAGUUGAAUUUCGGGGUCAGUAGAUUGGUCGUGCCACUGGUAUGUACUGGUCUUACUGGCUCCUCCUUCCUGAUGAACCGUAAUGCCAUUAAUUUGGUGUUGCGGGGAGACUGGACUGUUACUUUGAAAAAAUUAGAGUGUUUAAAGCAGGCUAACGCUUGAAUACAUUAGCAUGGAAUAAUGAAAUAGGACGUUCGAUCUUAUUUUGUUGGUUUCUAAGAUUGACGUAAUGAUUAAUAGGGAUAGUUGGGGGCAUUAGUAUUCAAUUGUCAGAGGUGAAAUUCUUGGAUUUAUUGAAGACUAACUACUGCGAAAGCAUUUGCCAAGGAUGUUUUCAUUAAUCAAGAACGAAAGUUAGGGGAUCGAAGACGAUCAGAUACCGUCGUAGUCUUAACCAUAAACUAUGCCGACUAGGGAUCGGAUGAUGUUAAUUUUUUAAUGACUCAUUCGGCGCCUUACGGGAAAC
rnacentral:rRNA from 1 species